rnacentral:rRNA from 1 species
UGAGCAAUCUGCCCUUCUCUUCGGAAUAAGCGUUGGAAACGACGUCUAAUGCCGAAUACGACCUCCUUUCGCAUGAUCGGAGGUGGAAAGCUCCGGCGGAGAAGGAUGAGCUCGCGGCCUAUCAGCUAGUUGGUGUGGGUAAUGGCCCGCCAAGGCGACGACGGGUAGCCGGCCUGAGAGGGUGACCGGCCACACUGGGACUGAGACACGGCCCAGACCUCCGUACGGGAGGNAG